CGCGUGCGGGAAGAAGGCCUUCGGGUUGUAAACCGCUUUUGUCAGGGAAGAAACGCUCUGGGUUAAUACCUCGGGGUAAUGACGGUACCUGAAGAAUAAGCACCGGCUAACUACGUGCCAGCAGCCGCGGUAAUACGUAGGGUGCAAGCGUUAAUCGGAAUUACUGGGCGUAAAGCGUGCGCAGGCGGUUAUGCAAGACAGAUGUGAAAUCCCCGGGCUCAACCUGGGAACUGCAUUUGUGACUGCAUGGCUAGAGUACGGUAGAGGGGGAUGGAAUUCCGCGUGUAGCAGUGAAAUGCGUAGAUAUGCGGAGGAACACCGAUGGCGAAGGCAAUCCCCUGGACCUGUACUGACGCUCAUGCACGAAAGCGUGGGGAGCAAACAGGAUUAGAUACCCUGGUAGUCCACGCCCUAAACGAUGUCAACUGGUUGUUGGGAGGGUUUCUUCUCAGUAACGUAGCUA
rnacentral:rRNA from 1 species